UCCCAUAUCGUCUAGCGGUUAGGAUCCGUGCUUUUCAGUGUUGUUCACGAGCGCACGUGGCCGGGGUUCGAUUCCCCGUGUGGGAA